rnacentral:rRNA from 1 species
AGCGAACGCUGGCGGCAGGCCUAACACAUGCAAGUCGAACGAAGUCCUCGGACUUAGUGGCGGACGGGUGAGUAACACGUGGGAACGUACCUUUUGGUUCGGAACAACUCAGGGAAACUUGAGCUAAUACCGGAUGAGCCCUUAGGGGGAAAGAUUUAUCGCCGAAAGAGCGGCCCGCGUUAGAUUAGCUAGUUGGUGAGGUAAAGGCUCACCAAGGCUACGAUCUAUAGCUGGUCUGAGAGGAUGAUCAGCCACACUGGGACUGAGACACGGCCCAGACUCCUACGGGAGGCAGCAGUGGGGAAUCUUGCGCAAUGGGCGAAAGCCUGACGCAGCCAUGCCGCGUGAAUGAUGGAGGUCUUAGGAUUGUAAAAUUCUUUUACCAGGGACGAUAAUGACGGUACCUGGAGAAAAAGCCCCGGCUAACUUCGUGCCAGCAGCCGCAGUAACAC